rnacentral:rRNA from 1 species
GAUGAACGCUGGCGGCGUGCUUAACACAUGCAAGUCGAACGAAGCACUUUAUUUGAUUUCCUUCGGGACUGAUUAUUUUGUGACUGAGUGGCGGACGGGUGAGUAACGCGUGGGUAACCUGCCUUGUACAGGGGGAUAACAGUUGGAAACGGCUGCUAAUACCGCAUAAGCGCACGGCAUCGCAUGAUGCAGUGUGAAAAACUCCGGUGGUAUAAGAUGGACCCGCGUUGGAUUAGCUAGUUGGUGAGGUAACGGCCCACCAAGGCGACGAUCCAUAGCCGAGAUGAGAGGGUGACCGGCCACAUUGGGACUGAGACACGGCCCAAACUCCUACGGGAGGCAGCAGUGGGGAAUAUUGCACAAUGGGCGAAAGCCUGAUGCAGCGACGCCGCGUGAGCGAAGAAGUAUUUCGGUAUGUAAAGCUCUAUCAGCAGGGAAGAUAAUGACGGUACCUGACUAAGAAGCACCGGCUAAAUACGUG